rnacentral:rRNA from 1 species
CCAGCAGCCGCGGUAAUACGAAGGGACCUAGCGUAAUUCGGAAUUACUGGGCGUAAAGCGCGCGUAGGCGGUUAAGUAAGUUAAUUGUGAAAGCCCAAAGCUCAACUUUGGAAUUGCAAUUAAAACUACUUAGCUAGAGUUUAUCAGAGGAAAGCGGAAUACAUAGUGUAGAGGUGAAAUUCGUAGAUAUUAUGUAGAACACCAGUUGCGAAGGCGGCUUUCUGGGAUAACACUGACGCUGAGGUGCGAAAGUAUGGGUAGCGAAGAGGAUUAGAUACCCUCGUAGUCCAUACCGUAAACGAUGAUUGUUAGAUGUUGGAAAUUUAUUUUCAGUAUCACAGCUAACGCGUUAAACAAUCCGCCUGGGGAGUACGACCGCAAGGUUAAAACUCAAAUGAAUUGACGGGGACCCGCACAAGCGGUGGAGCAUGUGGUUUAAUUCGAAGCUACGCGCAGAACCUUACCAACACUUGACAUGUCUGUCGCGGAUUCCAGAGAUGGAUUCCUUCGGUUCGGCCGGACAGAACACAGGUGCUGCAUGGCUGUCGUCAGCUCGUGUCGUGAGAUGUUGGGUUAAGUCCCGCAACGAGCGCAACCCUACUUCUAGUUGCCAUCAGGUUAAGCUGGGCACUCUAGUAGGACUGCCUGUGAUAAGCAGGAGGAAGGUUGGGAUGACGCCAAGUCCUCAUGGCCCUUACGUGUUGGGCUACACACGUGCUACAAUGGCAGUGACAAUGAGAUGCUAAACAGCGAUGUUAAAGCUAAACUCAAAAACCUGCCUCAGUUCGGAUUGCACUCUGCAACUCGAGUGCAUGAAGCUGGAAUCGCUAGUAAUCGCUCAUCAGCGCGGAGCGGUGAAUACGUUCCCGGGUCUUGUACUCACCGCCCGUCACACCAUGGAAGUUGGUUUUACCUUAAGGCAUGUCACUAACCUUCGGGAAGUGCGUGACCACGGUAUGAUCGGCGACUGGGGUGAAGUCGUAACAAGGUAGCCGAU